UGCAAUAGGCACCGCAACGUGCACCAACAACACGAUCUAUGAAGACGGACACAACAUGGUUACUAACAAGCACAAGUAAGUUACACAAGCUUACUUGAGCUAUAUCACACGACGAGUAUGUGAAAGACAAAAAAUACUAGAUCACACUAUAGCACACGAUAUAUCAAUAGUUGCAAGUGUGAACGUGUGGGUAUAGAGGGUAUGCUUGAACGAUUAAUCUUGUACAAAAAAAUAGCCAACACAAUAUAAUGAGCACGAACAAUAUGCAAUGUAUGUAU
rnacentral:lncRNA from 1 species